rnacentral:lncRNA from 1 species
UGCUGUUGUUGUCGGAGAGGAAAGACGAACGCUGUUAAAGCUCUGUUUUGUAAAACAGAGGUUUUAGAGAGAGAGUUGCUACUUUUAGUUUCUAAUGAGUUGGAUUAUAUUGCCCUUUGGAUGACUUAGCAUAAUUUAACUUGGGCAGAAAAAAAUUCUGCAGAAAACAUGUGAUGCCCAAAUUAAGUCCAUGGAUUGCUUCCAACAGUUCCCACAAAGAACACAGAUACCAAACUCAAUAGGUUUAGGUUCUCAAUUAUGAACUAGGGUCUGCCCUCCUCCCUCCUCUUCUUCAGCUGAGUCACGUGAGCUGAUCAGGGCAAAGCUGACACCAAAAAAUAAAUAAAAUAAAUAAAAAAUAAAAAAAUCAGGUGGUGAGGUUUGUCAUCACCUUCUACGUGUCCUCCAAAUAAACAAACAUUUUACACCGCUUCAAUUCCUUGCCUUCGUGUUAAGCAAUUAGCAUGUUGACAGGGCUUUGUGCUUACCAUUUCAACUCAGCAUCUCAAAUGGCAAGCAGAGACAGAGAGCAAUCCAAAUGUUGCUUCAAAGAGUGGAUGGAGCUUCAAGAACAAGACCUCUCAGAGCUCCUCCAAGCCCUGAAACUAGACCCCCAAAACAAAGACCAGUUAAAACAUUUAGCAGAGAAAGGCAUCUGUCACUUCCAAGAUUACAUAAACAAGAGAACCCAACUUGCCCGCAGAGACGUCUCUGCCUUCUUUGCCCCCACUUGGUGCACUUCAUGGGAAAACUCUCUGCUUUGGAUCGCUGGCUGCAGACCCUCUUUGUUUUUCAGGCUCG